ACCCCUGUAGCGUAAUUGGUAACGCGUUGGACAUCUCAUCCAAAGGUCGUGGGUUCGAAUCCCACCUGGGAUG